rnacentral:rRNA from 1 species
CUGCGAGUGAGCGGGAAAGCUCAAUUUAAAAUCUGGCGGUCUCCGGCCGUCCGUAUUCGUAAUUUAGAGAAGCGUUAUCCGUGCUGGACCGUGUAUAAGUCUCCUGGAAUGGAGCGUCAUAGAGGGUGAGAAUCCCGUCUUUGACACGGACUACCAGUGCAUUGUGAUGCGCUCUCGACGAGUCGAGUUGUUUGGGAAUGCAGCUCAAAAUGGGUGGUAAAUGCCAUCUAAAGCUAAAUAUUGGCGAGAGACCGAUAGCGAACAAGUACCGUGAGGGAAAGAUGAAAAGAACUUUGGAAAGAGAGUUAAACAGUACGUGAAAUUGUCGAAAGGGAAACGGUUGCAGUCAGUCGCGUCCGCCGGGGAUCAACCUUGCUUUUGCUUGGCGUAUUUCCCGGUGGAUGGGUCAGCAUCAGUUUUGACCGCAGUUGAAAGGCUGGAGGAAUGUGGCACCUUCGGGUGUGUUAUAGCCUCCUGUCAUAUGCUGCGGUUGGGACUGAGGAACUCAGCACGCCGCAAGGCCGGGAUUCGUCCACGUUCGUGCUUAGGAUGCUGGCAUAAUGUCUGUAACCGACCCGU